AGAGCGAACGCUGGCGGCGUACUUAACACAUGCAAGUCGAACGAGGAUCAUCGGGUUAGCAAUAAUUCGGUGGUCCUAGUGGCGCACGGGUGAGUAACACGUGGGUGACCUGCCCUUGAGCUCGGGAUACCCCCUCGAAAGGGGGGCUAAUACCGGAUACGUUCCUCGGUCGAAAGACUGAGGAGGAAAGGUGGCGCAAGCUGCCGCUCUUGGAGGGGCUCGCGGCCUAUCAGCUAGUUGGCGGGUAACGCCCACCAAGGCUAUGACGGUAGCUGGUCUGAGAGACGACCAGCCACACGGGGACUGAGACACGGCCCCGACUCCUAACGGGAGGCAGCAGUGGGGAAUUUCCGCAAUGGGCGAAAGCCUGACGGAGUGACGCCGCGUGUGGACGAAGGCCUGGUCGUAAACCACGUAGCGUAGUACGGAAGAGUAGGUGUCGGUCGCGAAGUACCGACCGGACCUACGU
rnacentral:rRNA from 1 species